rnacentral:rRNA from 1 species
GACGAACGCUGGCGGCGUGCCUAAUACAUGCAAGUAGAACGCUGAAGGAGGAGCUUGCUUCUCUGGAUGAGUUGCGAACGGGUGAGUAACGCGUAGGUAACCUGCCUGGUAGCGGGGGAUAACUAUUGGAAACGAUAGCUAAUACCGCAUAAUAGUAGAUGUUGCAUGACAUUUACUUAAAAGGUGCAAUUGCAUCACUACCAGAUGGACCUGUGUUGUAUUAGCUAGUUGGUGGGGUAACGGCUCACCAAGGCGACGAUACAUAGCCGACCUGAGAGGGUGAUCGGCCACACUGGGACUGAGACGCGGCCCAGACUCCUACGGGAGGCAGCAGUAGGGAAUCUUAGGCAAUGGACGGAAGUCUGACCGAGCAACGCCGCGUGAGUGAAGAAGGUUUUCGGAUCGUAAAGCUCUGUUGUAAGAGAAGAACGAGUGUGAGAGCGGAAAGUUCACACUGUGACGGUAUCUUACCAGAAAGGGACGGCUAACUACGUGC